rnacentral:rRNA from 1 species
CCUACGGGAGGCAGCAGUGGGGAAUAUUGGGCAAUGGGCGCAAGCCUGACCCAGCAACGCCGCGUGAAGGAAGCAGGAUUUCGGGUUGUAAACUUCUUUUAAGAGGGAAGAGCAGAAGACGGUACCUCUUGAAUAAGCCAAGGCUAACUACGUGCCAGCAGCCGCGGUAAUACGUAGGUGGCAAGCGUUGUCCGGAUUUACUGGGUGGAAAUGGCGGGUAGCCGGGCUGACAAGUCAGCUGUGAAAUCCGGGGGCUAAACCCCCGAACUGCAUUUGAAACUGUUGGUCUUGAGUAUCGGAGAGGCAGGCGGAAUUCCUAGUGUAGCGGUGAAAUGCGUAGAUAUUAGGAGGAACACCAGUGGCGAAGGCGGCCUGCUGGACGACAACUGACGGUGAGGCGCGAAAGCGUGGGGAGCAAACAGGAUUAGAUACCCCUGUAGUC